rnacentral:rRNA from 2 species
GAUGCGUAGCCGACCUGAGAGGGUGAUCGGCCACACUGGGACUGAGACACGGCCCAGACUCCUACGGGAGGCAGCAGUAGGGAAUCUUCCGCAAUGGACGAAAGUCUGACGGAGCAACGCCGCGUGAGUGAUGAAGGUUUUCGGAUCGUAAAGCUCUGUUGUUAGGGAAGAACAAGUACCGUUCGAAUAGGGCGGUACCUUGACGGUACCUAACCAGAAAGCCACGGCUAACUACGUGCCAGCAGCCGCGGUAAUACGUAGGUGGCAAGCGUUGUCCGGAAUUAUUGGGCGUAAAGGGCUCGCAGGCGGUUUCUUAAGUCUGAUGUGAAAGCCCCCGGCUCAACCGGGGAGGGUCAUUGGAAACUGGGGAACUUGAGUGCAGAAGAGGAGAGUGGAAUUCCACGUGUAGCGGUGAAAUGCGUAGAGAUGUGGAGGAACACCAGUGGCGAAGGCGACUCUCUGGUCUGUAACUGACGCUGAGGAGCGAAAGCGUGGGGAGCGAACAGGAUUAGAUACCCUGGUAGUCCACGCCGUAAACGAUGAGUGCUAAGUGUUAGGGGGUUUCCGCCCCUUAGUGCUGCAGCUAACGC